rnacentral:misc_RNA from 1 species
CGCAUAUUGCGCCCACCAGUACUCUGGUGGGCAUGCCUGUUCGAGCGUCAUUUCAACCCUCCGGGACGCUCUCCCGGGUGUUGGGGCUCGUCCGCCCCUCGCGGCGGCCGGCCCCGAAAUUUAGUGGCGGUCCUGCGGCGACCUCCUCUGCGCAGUAGCCUAUACCUCGCAGCUGGAAAGCCGUGCGGCCACGCCGUAAAACCCCAACUAGCUCUUUUGCAAUGGUUGACCUCGAAUCAGGUAGGAAUACCCGCUGAACUUAA